rnacentral:rRNA from 1 species
UACGGAGGGUGCAAGCGUUAUCCGGAUUUACUGGGUUUAAAGGGUGUGUAGGCGGACUUUUAAGUCAGCGGUGAAAUCUCCGGGCUCAACCCGGAAACUGCCAUUGAUACUAUUGGUCUUGAAUGUUGUUGAGGUGGGCGGAACGGGUCAUGUAGCGGUGAAAUGCAUAGAUAUGACCCGGAACACCGAUUGCGAAGGCAGCCCACUAAGCAAUGAUUGACGCUGAGGCACGAAAGCGUGGGGAGCGAACAGG